rnacentral:rRNA from 1 species
CCUACGGGAGGCAGCAGUGGGGAAUAUUGCUCAAUGGGGGCAACCCUGAUGCAGCCAAGCCGCGUGAGUGAUGACGUAUUUCUGUAUUUAAAGCUCCUUCAGCAGGGAAGAGAAUGACGGUACCUGUCUCAGAUGCCCCGGCCAACUACGUGCCAGCAGGCGUGGUACUACGUAAGGAGCAGGCGUUAUCCGGAUUUACUGGGUGUAAAGGGGGCGUAGACGGGUGUACAAGUCUGAAGUGAAAGCCCGUGGCUCAACCGCGGAACUGCUGUGGAAACUGUAGAGCUGGAGUACGCGAGAGGCAGGCGGAAUUCGUAGUGUAGCGGUGAAAUGCGUAGAUAUUAGGAGGAACCCCAGUGGCGAAGGCAGCCUGCUGGACAGAAACUGACGUUGAGGCUCGAAGGCGUGGGGAGCGAACAGGAUUAGAUACCCCAGUAGUC